rnacentral:lncRNA from 1 species
AUAGCUAAAUUAUUUUUCCUAUACUUCAAUCCUACACCACACCAAAAGGAGACGGACGAGAGUUAUCGAUACUGGAAACUUCAUAAUUCUUCACGCUUUUCAUUAAUUUUGAGGUUAGCAUUCUGUAUUUGUUAUAUUCUAAUUUAUGAUUUCCUUAAUGAUAAAUAUAAAUGUUUAUCAUUAAUUUUCUAUAACAUAUAAUUUUUAGAUUAAAUAUUGGCCUUUUGGAGAUCUAUUGUGUUCAAAGAGGUGUUCUUUAUCAUUCUUGAUAUGAAAUACUUAUUUUCAUAACUUGAUGCCCAAUAUCUAUAUAUAACAUAUAAAGAAAAAUAAAUAUAAAAAUGAAUCCACGUCUCUAGGUACACGCUUUGUUAGAAAUUGUUGAGAUUCAAUUGAUAUGAUUUUAUAAGCUGAGAUUUAUACAAAUUAUUUAUUAAUAAUAGUUAGAACAUGGAGACAUUUUGGUUUAUAUGUGCUUACAUAAUCUUCUAGAAUAAUUAAUAGUGAAUAUUCAUGAUUUAUUGAUAUUUAUUAGAUGGUUAGUGUGAAAUGAUGAAGUAAACGAACCUUAGCACAUAAUCUUAUUUUCACAACUUGCACGCCACAAUGUUUAUCGCAUGCUCCCAUUUAAAAUUGUCUAUGUAAUAUAUUGUUAUCUACGAGUUAUAAAUAAAUAUGUAAAAUAAUAAUAAUAAUAAUAAUAAUAAUAAUAAUAAUAAUAAUAAUAAUAAUAAUAAUAAUAAUAAUAAUAAUAAGGGUAUUGAUAUUUAAGGAUAUGUCUGCAUAGUUAUAUAAAUUAAGUAUGUCAGAAUUUCAUAUUAAAUGGUAGUGAUCUAGGACUCUUCGGCAAAUUCAUUUUGUGGAUUGCUACAAACAUCUAUGUCUUGUAUGCUAAAACUAAAUUGUUAAGGAUUUCAGGUAAAUAAACCUCUCACAAUCUUCAUGCACACGUUACAUUAAUAAAUGUAUAAAAUCUGUUAUUACGUGAUCUUGACUAUUACAUUUUAUGUUAUUAAUGAUUUUUAUUACAUAUUCAUGCAUGUCAAUGCAUCCAUAAGCGUAUAUGAAAUUUCAAGGAAUAAAAAGUUCCCAAAUGUCAGGAGCCAAUGAAUGUUUUUAAAAGAUAUGUAUCCCAAAUAUUUUUAUUACGAGGUGUAUGUCUAUGUUAUGAGAGGUGUGAGUGAGAAAUGGGCAGGGGAACCGGCACACCCGACCAAUGUUCAAUGUUAGUGUUAACCGCUUUGUUGUGCUACCAGUAAGACUUGAUUAGAUUCCAAAUGUUAAGUUUUUAAAGAAAUGAAAAUAAGGGAUACAUAUUGAAAAAUGCUUUUUGUUUUAAUGUAAUUCAUGUGCAUAUCAUAACCAUGCAUUAUAUGCAUGAGGUUUGCUCACUAGACAUUAAUUCAUCCCACGUUAUUCGUUCCCAUUUUCAAAUGAAGAAGAGAAGAGGAUUUGAGACAACUACUUGCGGCGCGAUGGACUCAGUACCGAUAUAUGUAAACAUUGACUUAUUUUUAAAAAAGAAAAGUUAACAUUUAAUCUUAUUGCUUUUUUUCAAAUUUAAGUGCAAAAGUUUAAGUGCAAAAGUUUUCUACAAGUUAUGUUCAUAAAUGAAGUUAAUGAUAUCCAUUGUAUUGAAGGAAAAUUUAAUCGCUUCCGAAUUUAUGAUUUUAAGAGAAAAUGAAAUGAUAAUAUUUCAAAAUCUAGGUAUCUAGAUUUGGAGGUGCUGCACCAUCACAUCCACCAACAAUUAUUGGCGUGUAAAGACGAUGUUCGACAAUGCCGUGCAUAGAGCCACCACAUCUUCUUGCGACCACAACCACCAGGUCUACCAAAUAAUCCCCAAAUCACCGCCUCACCACCAUUGCAUGAUACUAUUGCCCAUAUUAACAACGUCCUCAGAUUGGAAAGAGAGAAAAACCUAAAAUCGUCGCAACGCUACGUUGACGGAUUGCACAACUCCUUCGUCGUUGGUUGCCGGAGUUUGAAUGAGUCGCUGCGUAGAAGAGAGAACAGAGAAAGGUAGAGAGGGAGAAGAAAAAUGAUUUAAAGUUAGGGUUUGUAUUAUAUUGAUAGCUUAUUUGUGAAUAAUUGAAACUUCAUUCCAAAAUUUUGAAUUGUCAUCUUUAAAUCCUUGGAAUUAAGUAAUUUCCACAUCAUGAAUUGUAAUUAUGGUAUUGUGCAAAGUAAUGGGCUUCACUUCUUAGCUGGGCUUGGGCAUUUAGAAAGUUAGAAAAAAAUUGGGCCUUUGUGAUGAAAAGUUCUGCCAGCAUUGGACUUCAUUGGGCUCUAUCCAACUGUGGCAACAAACCUUGG